GUAGGGAAUAUUGGGCAAUGGAUGAAAGUCUGACCCAGCCAUGCCGCGUGCCGGAUGAAGGCGCUCAGCGUUGUAAACGGCUUUUAUUCGGGAAGAAGAGCAGGGAUGCGUCCCUGUGUGACGGUACCGAAUGAAUAAGCACCGGCUAACUCCGUGCCAGCAGCCGCGGUAAUACGGAGGGUGCAAGCGUUAUCCGGAAUCACUGGGUUUAAAGGGUACGUAGGCGGUUAAUUAAGUCAGUAGUGAAAGACUGUCGCUCAACGACGGAUGUGCUAUUGAUACUGGUUAACUUGAAUCAGGUUAGAGUUGGCGGAAUGGGUCAUGUAGCGGUGAAAUGCUUAGAUAUGACUUGGAACACCGAUAGCGAAGGCAGCUGACUGAGCCUUGAUUGACGCUGAGGUACGAAAGUGUGGGUAGCGAACAGGAUUAGAUACCCCAGUAGUCC
rnacentral:rRNA from 1 species